UACGUAGGGUGCAAGCGUUAAUCGGAAUUACUGGGCGUAAAGCGUGCGCAGGCGGUUUUGUAAGUCUGACGUGAAAUCCCCGGGCUCAACCUGGGAAUUGCGUUGGAGACUGCAAGGCUGGAGUCUGGCAGAGGGGGGUAGAAUUCCACGUGUAGCAGUGAAAUGCGUAGAGAUGUGGAGGAACACCGAUGGCGAAGGCAGCCCCCUGGGUCAAGACUGACGCUGAGACGCGAAAGCGUGGGGAGCGAACAGG
rnacentral:rRNA from 1 species